rnacentral:rRNA from 1 species
AUGAGGCGAUCAAACACAAGCAACCUUACCAAGAACAGAAGAAAACAGAUACGAACGCUGUCGGUGGAGGCACACCCACUACGCCCGACGCACCCCGGUGGCGCGGCGGUGCCCUCCAUCGGCCUGAAUCCUCCGCGCAGAGCGACGCGCGCGUCACACGGACAUCAUCCGAGGCCCUCGGCCUCAGGGCGGCUCCCACGGAGCAACCAACCACGACGCGGCCAUGCAGCCCUUCGGCGUGCGCGGACCAUGAGCGGCAGUGGAGGCAACGUCCUCCGGCACGGCGGGGAAACCGCCGGCCGGCAACGCCCUCCGGCGCGUGGCGUUGUACGAGCAAGCCCCCCCGGCUACGGCUGGCGACGCCAUGAACCGCAACAUCAGUGCCUCUCUGCAGAACUAAACAAAUCGAUGGAUUUGUGA